rnacentral:rRNA from 1 species
GACGAACGCUGGCGGCGUGCCUAAUACAUGCAAGUUGAGCGCUGAAGGUUGGUACUUGUACCAACUGGAUGAGCAGCGAACGGGUGAGUAACGCGUGGGGAAUCUGCCUUUGAGCGGGGGACAACAUUUGGAAACGAAUGCUAAUACCGCAUAAAAACUUUAAACACAAGUUUUAAGUUUGAAAGAUGCAAUUGCAUCACUCAAAGAUGAUCCCGCGUUGUAUUAGCUAGUUGGUGAGGUAAAGGCCCACCAAGGCGAUGAUACAUAGCCGACCUGAGAGGGUGAUCGGCUACAUUGGGACUGAGACACGGCCCAAACUCCUACGGGAGGCAGCAGUAGGGAAUCUUCGGCAAUGGACGAAAGUCUGACCGAGCAACGCCGCGGGAGUGAAGAAGGUUGUCGGAUCGUAAAACUCUGUUGGUAGAGAAGAACGUUGGUGAGAGUGGAAAGCUCAUCAAGUGACGGUAACUACCCAGAAAGGGACGGCUAACUACGUG